AUUGAACGCUGGCGGCAUGCCUUACACAUGCAAGUCGAACGGCAGCACGGGAGCAAUCCUGGUGGCGAGUGGCGAACGGGUGAGUAAUACAUCGGAACGUGCCCAAUCGUGGGGGAUAACGCAGCGAAAGCUGUGCUAAUACCGCAUACGAUCUACGGAUGAAAGCAGGGGACCACAAGACCUUGCGCGAAUGGAGCAGCCGAUGGCAGAUUAGGUAGUUGGUGGGGUAAAGGCUCACCAAGCCAACGAUCCGUAGCUGGUCUGAGAGGACGACCAGCCACACUGGGACUGAGACACGGCCCAGACUCCUACGGGAGGCAGCAGUGGGGAAUUUUGGACAAUGGGCGCAAGCCUGAUCCAGCCAUGCCGCGUGCAGGAUGAAGGCCUUCGGGUUGUAAACUGCUUUUGUACGGAAAGAAACGGCGUUUUCUAAUAAAGAGGGCUAAUGACGGUACCGUAAGAAUAAGCACCGGCUAACUACGUG
rnacentral:rRNA from 1 species